CCUACGGGGUGCAGCAGUGGGGAAUAUUGGGCAAUGGGCGCAAGCCUGACCCAGCAACGCCGCGUGAAGGAUGAAGGUUUUCGGAUUGUAAACUUCUGUCGCCAGGGACGAAGAAUGUCGGUAUCCCGUAUGAAAGCCCCGGCUAACUACGUGCCAGCAGCCGCGGUAAUAUGCAGGGGGCAAGCGUUGUCCGGAAUGACUGGGCGUAAAGGGUGUGUAGGCGGUUGAGCAAGUUAGAUGUGAAAGCCCGGGGCUUAACCGCGGAACUGCAUCUGAAACUGGGGAGCUGGAGUGCAGGAGAGGUGAGUGGAAUGCCUAGUGUAGCGGUGGAAUGCGUAGAUAUUAGGAGGAACACCAGAGGCGAAGGCGACUCACUGGACUGUAACUGACGCUGAGGCUCGAAAGCGUGGGGAGCAAACAGGAUUAGAUACCCCAGUAGUC
rnacentral:rRNA from 1 species